rnacentral:rRNA from 1 species
GACGAACGCUGGCGGCGUGCUUAACACAUGCAAGUCGAACGAAGAGCGAUGGAAGCUUGCUUCUAUCAAUCUUAGUGGCGAACGGGUGAGUAACGCGUAAUCAACCUGCCCUUCAGAGGGGGACAACAGUUGGAAACGACUGCUAAUACCGCAUACGAUCUAACCUCGGCAUCGAGGAAAGAUGAAAGGUGGCCUCUAUGUAUAAGCUAUCACUGAAGGAGGGGAUUGCGUCUGAUUAGCUAGUUGGAGGGGUAACGGCCCACCAAGGCGAUGAUCAGUAGCCGGUCUGAGAGGAUGAACGGCCACAUUGGGACUGAGACACGGCCCAGACUCCUACGGGAGGCAGCAGUGGGGAAUCUUCCGCAAUAGACGAAAGUCUGACGGAGCAACGCCGCGUGAGUGAUGACGGCCUUCGGGUUGUAAAGCUCUGUUAAUCGGGACGAAAGGCCUUCUUGCGAAUAGUGAGAAGGAUUGACGGUACCGGAAUAGAAAGCCACGGCUAACUACGUG